rnacentral:tRNA from 1 species
GCCCUCUUAGCUCAGUUGGUAGAGCGCGUCACUAGUAAUGACGAGGUCAAUAGUUCAAAUCUGUUAGAGGGCA